CAGGACUAGUCACAGCAAUGUGAAAACGAGCGUCCCCCAAGCCACUUGCUCAGCUCAUACUCCAAAGAAUCACAUGAGCAGGUCAACCCCAGGGCGUGGAAACAAUCUAUGUCGAUAUCUAGAUAAAGAAGUCCAGAGUCCCCAGCCAUCAUCAGCUAUAUACCUUCUAGCAUAAGAACAGAGCCAAGAAGACCGAAGCCUGAACAGUCAUAAAGGUCAUAGUGUCCCUCUUCCCUCACAGUGUGAUGGGAAGUUCUUCUGUGACCCUCUUGUUUGUGGAAGGACAGGCAAUUGUCAUGCCAUAUACAAAGAUGCAUGCAGGCUAUCUGCCCAGAGGACAAGGACAAAGGACAGGAUGGUAGAGACGCCCAUAACAAAAACUGAGUCAACAGAGAACGUAUACACAAGACCUCAAUGGAAGCGGCUUCUUUCAAACUUGGGAAAUGCUGAUGUGUCUAGAACUCUGAGAACAGAAGGAACUGACCUUGGAGCAGACAGGCAAAGAACAGAGCAUCCUGAUUUUGACUCUCAUCUCACACUCCAUGAAUGAAAAGCUUAUGCCCAAGACAUGAACCUAAAAAUACUAGAAGAAUAUAGUGGGUUGAAGGCUCCAUGAUGCUGAUCUGGAUAAUGAUUUGGAAAUAUUACCCAAAAGCAUGGUUAAUAAAAGAAAAAGUAGACAAACAUACAUCAAACAAUUAAUGGCCUCUGAACAACCAAGAAAACAAGCAAUAAAGACAACCUAAAGAACAGAGAACCUGUAGAAUGGAACAAUGUGUGUAUACAUCAUAUAUUUGAAGAUGCUGCCAGUAAUGUGUUGUGGGAACAUGGUGGGAACAGCCAACUCUGCAAGACUAAUGAGCUAGCCUCGGCUAAUGAAGCGUUAUUCAUAAUUGCCAGGAGAUGGGACUAAUCCGAGGGCCCGUGAGUUGAUGAACAGACUAAGAAAAAUGACAGCAAACACAAUGGGAUCAUGUUCAACCUUGGCGAAAACUGGAAUCCGUCCCUGUAAAUGAUUUGGAGGAACCUGGAGAACAUUAUGUUAAAUGAAACAAGCAAGGAGCAGAGAUGGAUGAUGACACAUUCUCGACCAUACGUGAAGAUAAGAAAGUGAAAUUCACAGAAUCAGAGAGAAAUGGUACUUUUCAGAGGCUAGGGGUGAUAGGAUUGGGAAGCUGUUGAUCAGAAGACCCCAAGUCUAUUUUGACAAGAGGAGUAAUUUCAAAAGAGCUAUUAUUGAUCAUCAUGGUGGUUACAGCUAAUAGCCAAAUA